rnacentral:rRNA from 1 species
CCUACGGGUGGCAGCAGUGAGGAAUAUUGGUCAAUGGCCGAGAGGCUGAACCAGCCAAGUCGCGUGAGGGAAGACGGCCCUACGGGUUGUAAACCUCUUUUGUCGGGGAGCAAAGCGAACCACGUGUGGUUCAUUGAGAGUACCCGAAGAAAAAGCAUCGGCUAACUCCGUGCCAGCAGCCGCGGUAAUACGGAGGAUGCGAGCGUUAUCCGGAUUUAUUGGGUUUAAAGGGUGCGAAGGCGGAGGUGCAAGUCAGCGGUCAAAUUGCGGGGCUCAACCCCGUACUGCCGUUGAAACUGAAUCUCUUGAGUGCAGUAGAAGUAUGCGGAAUGCGUGGUGUAGCGGUGAAAUGCAUAGAUAUCACGAAGAACUCCGAUUGCGAAGGCAGCAUACCGGCGCGCAACUGACGCUCAUGCACGAAAGCGUGGGUAUCGAACAGGAUUAGAUACCCCGGUAGUC